rnacentral:rRNA from 1 species
UACGUAGGUGGCAAGCGUUGUCCGGAUUUAUUGGGUUUAAAGCGUGCGCAGGCGGCUUCGCAAGUCAGACGUGAAAUCCCCGGGCUUAACCUGGGAAUGGCGUUUGAAACUACGGAGCUGGAGUGUGGCAGAGGGAGGUAGAAUUCCACGUGUAGCGGUGAAAUGCGUAGAUAUGUGGAGGAAUACCGAUGGCGAAGGCAGCCUCCUGGGCCAACACUGACGCUCAUGCACGAAAGCGUGGGGAGCAAACAGG